GAUCUCUUGCAGCAAACUUUUAAUGGUUUCUUUUGGUUCGAAUCCGAUUUGGAGAUCUG
rnacentral:other from 1 species